GCCCCAGGUCCAGCAGAUAACAACCAGGUCCAAAUACCAGCAUCUCCAAUCUCAAUCCAACCGAAUAGUAAUAAAUCUGAUGGGGAUCAUCAACAAUCCACAGACUCAGUAGAUAAGUGGAAGGGCCAAACAUCAAUACCUCCAUUCUCAUAUCAACAAAAAGGUAAUGAAUCUGAUAACUCCUCACUAAAGCAAAGUGGUGAAAAAACACCUGACCCAGGUUCUGAAGACGAGGAACAAAGCUGAAACACCCUUCAUCCAUGUGUGUAACUGCUGUGAGUUGGUCCUCUAUGGGAAAAUGUUACAAACUUAAAGCUGUUUAACUUGAAGAUGACUAUUAGAGAUUAAACUGAGAUUUCAAAUGCUGGUGGAGACCUAAGCAACAGUCUCCUGUAGGUGGACAGUUGUCUCUGUCUGAGCAUAAUGUUGAGAAAGCAGGAGGAACAUCUGCUGACAGGAGAGAAACAUGAAGGGAUGAACUGGAACACUAAAGGUCCUAAUGCUACGUUCAGACUGCAGGCAAUAGAAGCAGCAUAAAAGCUUAAGCUGCUUUAUUUUUGAUGCUUGUACACAUGAAGGUCCGACGAGCCUCAAA